rnacentral:rRNA from 1 species
GCGCGGGCGGUCUGGUAAGUCGGAUGUAAAAUCUCCUGGCUUAACUGGGAGGGACCAUCCGAUACUGCCGGGCUGGAGUGCAGCAGGAGGAGGUGGAAUUCCCGGUGUAGUGGUGAAAUGCGUAGAUAUCGGGAGGAACACCAGUGGCGAAGGCGGCCUCCUAGGCUGUUACUGACGCUGAGGCCCGAAAGCGUGGGGAGCGAACAGGAUCAGAUACCCUGGUAGUCCACGCCGUAAACUAUGGACACUAGGUAUGGGGAGUAUCGACCCUCUCCGUGCCGAAGCUAACGCUUUAAGUGUCCCGCCUGGGAAGUACGGUCGCAAGACUAAA